ensembl:lncRNA
GUAGAUUAUAAACUCUGGAAGGCAGGACCUAUGCCUUAUACGGCCCCUGAGUCUUCCCUUGGCCUCCCCUCACCACUCCUGACACCUCAAACAAACGCCAUCCUUAGGCACACAUUAGUGACUAAAUACAUACACUUUGAAUUGAAUUGAAAUACUGUCGUGCAGCAAAUGGAGUUAUAGAUUUCUGGAAAUUCACACUUCCCAUAAGACAGGCUGCAUUUUAUAUGCUCCCCUAAUCAUUUCAGGAGUCUUGGGGCUUGGCGUGUGCCCACUUGUCUUCUUUUGCAGAAUAUCUCCACCAACCUAAGCAGUGUUGUCAUGUGGUUAAAUUUCCCUUAUUGCCUUCCCAUGAAACGCAUAUUCUCAGAAAGUCCCCACUUCAACUUUGGUUAACACCAGCUUAUAAACUUGUGCCAACAGAGAAAAUCCUGCUGCUUUGCAAUCACUGCCUCUUUGAAUAGGCAAGUUGGGGAUAAAUUGAUUGGUUUCUCCAGGACUUUGGUUUCAAAGUUGAACAGCUAUGACCUGUCAUGGUCUUCCUUGCUACCCUCCUACAGUCCUGGAAUAUCGUGCUUGCUGCUAGAAGACCUUUGAGAUGUGUCUGUAUGACCGGAGCCACCAAGGAAUGACAUCUGACUCUGAUGCUUACUUUUUUAUAUAGAAUUUGAGUCAUCUUGCCUCAAAUUUGGAAGACAUUUUCUUUUUUGUUUCCCUAAUGUCCUCAUUCAGUUUUCCUUGGUUGUGGAAGAAGAGGUAGUAAGUUCCCCCUGAACCUACCCAUUCUCAACAAAAAAUAACUCCCCUGGCUCUUGAUGACUACAUCAGCCCAUGAUAGAUAAUGUUUACUCAGAAAUUUGCCUCUGCAGGAUGUUGAGCUUGUAUGGAUAUUCUUCAGAGACAUUUAGAAGAUGUAGAAAUACAAAAAUCAGGUGACAUCACUCGAUUUGGAACCUAGACAUAAGAACUGGGGUGUAAGUGUUAUUCCUCCUUUUAGGGGCAGACACUAAUGAUAAUACAGUCACGACUUGACUUUCCCACCAAAAAAGCAAAAGUUCAGGGAAGCAGGAUGGCUUUUGGGAAUGCCCAAAUCAUUUGAGAGCAGCUGCCUUUUGUGAGUGGCCUAAUUAGCAUUCUUAAGGCUACACGGCUGUAAGGAAUGGUCCAAAAAUUGUAGCUCUGAGUGCUUACAGCAAGCAGGGUUAUUUAAGAACUUUCCGGGGCCCUGUGGCACUAUUGAAUAUCCACAGCCAGUUCCAGGUUGGGAGUGAGGGCAGUGUACAGUUACCGGAGUGAGUGUCGACAUUUUUCAUGCCUGGCCUGCCUUCCCAGCAAGUUGCUUGGGUAAACAACAUCUAAAUUUUACAGGCUUUGAACAUGUGGCACUCCACAUGUAUUGGGCAUUUGAAUUGGCUGGUAAUUCUGAGUAAGCAGAAUUUCUUGUUGAAUUCACUAGCAUUUCCCUGUCGUAUGUUUUAGAUUUUCAAAACAGUGAAUCAGGAGGCCUGGAGCUUCCACUAUUAGGGAACCAAAUCUGAACAAUGCCAAAAACCAAGAUCUCAGAAAAUUAAAUAAUCUUUGUAACACCAGUAAUGCUUAUCACUUUAGAAGGCAAAAGUCUUACCCAGGGACUUUUGUGCAAAGCUAAUUGGAUCCUGUUGCUGCCCCUCUCUGUUAAAUCUGGAUUUAACAUAAUCUUGGUAGUGGUUUCAUUUUUUACCUUUCUGCAGCAAGAUUCUUAAUCUUGAUUUUAGAAAAUCUAUUUUGCUGUUAUCUUGUCCCUACCCUCAUGCCACCUCUUCCCAAGUUAAAGAAAAAAAAAACAAGCAAUCCAUUCUAGAUUAGUAAAAUGGGCCCCCUGUAGGCUUGGCUUUAUUUAGAGUUGGCAUUAGUCAAAUUUGAAUAUGAAUCCAAAGGUCUGGAUACCAGGUCAAUGGAAAAGUGGAGGACUUAGACUUUUCCCACAGUAAAUGAGAUAAACAGUUAACUUCAACAACUCUCCACGGCACCAUAGGAUAAGCAUUGUACAAACGAUUCUAUAAGGCUUUGUCUUCUACAAAACACACUUAGACCAUCCUGUCAGGACCCUUUCCUCACAGAACUUAAUUUACCCAGCUAUUCCAGUUCCCUUCUCUGGAUUCAAGUAGCAUUUCUGUAGUUCAUAUGGUUUAGAAUUUAUACCAUCCCUGCUUUGUUUUACCCAUGUUAGUCUUUCCUUUUCAUCAGAAUUAGAAGCUCUUCUCUGGGACUAGUUGUCUGGAGUGAGGAAGGCACCACAUCUUCCUCUGCUUUUCUAACUCCCACAGGAUCAAGCACACUGGUGAACACAUAAUCUGGCACAAUAAAUAGUUAUGGAUUAAUUCAAUUUUUAUAUUAUCUAGUGAAAAGAGACUAGAACCAAAGAGGC